GGGUUGUGAGGUUAAGCGACUAAGCGUACACGGUGGAUGCCCUGGCAGUCAGAGGCGAUGAAGGACGUGCUAAUCUGCGAAAAGCGUCGGUAAGGUGAUAUGAACCGUUAUAACCGGCGAUGUCCGAAUGGGGAAACCCAGUGUGAUUCGUCACACUAUCGUUAACUGAAUACAUAGGUUAACGAGGCGAACCGGGGGAACUGAAACAUCUAAGUACCCCGAGGAAAAGAAAUCAACCGAGAUUCCCCCAGUAGCGGCGAGCGAACGGGGAGCAGCCCAGAGUCUGAAUCAGCUUGUGUAUUAGUGGAACGGUCUGGAAAGUCCGACGGUACAGGGUGAUAGUCCCGUACACCAAAAUGCACAGGCUGUGAACUCGAAGAGUAGGGCGGGACACGUGGUAUCCUGUCUGAAUAUGGGGGGACCAUCCUCCAAGGCUAAAUACUCCUGACUGACCGAUAGUAAACCAGUACCGUGAGGGAAAGGCGAAAAGAACCCCGGCGAGGGGAGUGAAAAAGAACCUGAAACCGUGUACGUACAAGCAGUGGGAGCACCUUCGGGUGUGACUGCGUACCUUUUGUAUAAUGGGUCAGCGACUUAUAUUCUGUAGCAAGGUUAACCGUAUAGGGGAGCCGCAGGGAAACCGAGUCUUAACUGGGCGUUAAGUUGCAGGGUAUAGACCCGAAACCCGGUGAUCUAGCCAUGGGCAGGUUGAAGGUUGGGUAACACUAACUGGAGGACCGAACCGACUAAUGUUGAAAAAUUAGCGGAUGACUUGUGGCUGGGGGUGAAAGGCCAAUCAAACCGGGAGAUAGCUGGUUCUCCCCGAAAGCUAUUUAGGUAGCGCCUCGUGAACUCAUCUUCGGGGGUAGAGCACUGUUUCGGCUAGGGGGUCAUCCCGACUUACCAACCCGAUGCAAACUACGAAUACCGAAGAAUGUUAUCACGGGAGACACACGGCGGGUGCUAACGUCCGUCGUGAAGAGGGAAACAACCCAGACCGCCAGCUAAGGUCCCAAAGUCAUGGUUAAGUGGGAAACGAUGUGGGAAGGCACAGACAGCCAGGAUGUUGGCUUAGAAGCAGCCAUCAUUUAAAGAAAGCGUAAUAGCUCACUGGUCGAGUCGGCCUGCGCGGAAGAUGUAACGGGGCUAAACCAUGCACCGAAGCUGCGGCAGCGACACUAUGUGUUGUUGGGUAGGGGAGCGUUCUGUAAGCCUGCGAAGGUGACCUGUGAGGGUUGCUGGAGGUAUCAGAAGUGCGAAUGCUGACAUAAGUAACGAUAAAGCGGGUGAAAAGCCCGCUCGCCGGAAGACCAAGGGUUCCUGUCCAACGUUAAUCGGGGCAGGGUGAGUCGACCCCUAAGGCGAGGCCGAAAGGCGUAGUCGAUGGGAAACAGGUUAAUAUUCCUGUACUUGGUGUUACUGCGAAGGGGGGACGGAGAAGGCUAUGUUAGCCGGGCGACGGUUGUCCCGGUUUAAGCAUGUAGGCUGGUUGUCCAGGCAAAUCCGGAUAAUCAAGGCUGAGGUGUGAUGACGAGGCACUACGGUGCUGAAGUAACAAAUGCCCUGCUUCCAGGAAAAGCCUCUAAGCAUCAGGUAACAUCAAAUCGUACCCCAAACCGACACAGGUGGUCAGGUAGAGAAUACCAAGGCGCUUGAGAGAACUCGGGUGAAGGAACUAGGCAAAAUGGUGCCGUAACUUCGGGAGAAGGCACGCUGGUGUGUAGGUGAAGUCCCUGCGGAUGGAGCUGAGACCAGUCGAAGAUACCAGCUGGCUGCAACUGUUUAUUAAAAACACAGCACUGUGCAAACACGAAAGUGGACGUAUACGGUGUGACGCCUGCCCGGUGCCGGAAGGUUAAUUGAUGGGGUUAUCCGUAAGGAGAAGCUCUUGAUCGAAGCCCCGGUAAACGGCGGCCGUAACUAUAACGGUCCUAAGGUAGCGAAAUUCCUUGUCGGGUAAGUUCCGACCUGCACGAAUGGCGUAAUGAUGGCCAGGCUGUCUCCACCCGAGACUCAGUGAAAUUGAACUCGCUGUGAAGAUGCAGUGUACCCGCGGCAAGACGGAAAGACCCCGUGAACCUUUACUAUAGCUUGACACUGAACAUUGAGCCUUGAUGUGUAGGAUAGGUGGGAGGCUUUGAAGCGUGGACGCCAGUCUGCGUGGAGCCAACCUUGAAAUACCACCCUUUAAUGUUUGAUGUUCUAACGUUGGCCCCUGACCGGGGUUGCGGACAGUGUCUGGUGGGUAGUUUGACUGGGGCGGUCUCCUCCCAAAGCGUAACGGAGGAGCACGAAGGUUAGCUAAUCCUGGUCGGACAUCAGGAGGUUAGUGCAAUGGCAUAAGCUAGCUUGACUGCGAGCGUGACGGCGCGAGCAGGUGCGAAAGCAGGUCAUAGUGAUCCGGUGGUUCUGAAUGGAAGGGCCAUCGCUCAACGGAUAAAAGGUACUCCGGGGAUAACAGGCUGAUACCGCCCAAGAGUUCAUAUCGACGGCGGUGUUUGGCACCUCGAUGUCGGCUCAUCACAUCCUGGGGCUGAAGUAGGUCCCAAGGGUAUGGCUGUUCGCCAUUUAAAGUGGUACGCGAGCUGGGUUUAGAACGUCGUGAGACAGUUCGGUCCCUAUCUGCCGUGGGCGCUGGAGAAUUGAGGGGGGCUGCUCCUAGUACGAGAGGACCGGAGUGGACGCAUCACUGGUGUUCGGGUUGUCAUGCCAAUGGCACUGCCCGGUAGCUAAAUGCGGAAGAGAUAAGUGCUGAAAGCAUCUAAGCACGAAACUUGCCCCGAGAUGAGUUCUCCCUGAGACUUUAAGUCUCCUGAAGGAACGUUGAAGACGACGACGUUGAUAGGCCGGGUGUGUAAGCGCAGCGAUGCGUUGAGCUAACCGGUACUAAUGAACCGUGAGGCUUAACCUUACAACGCCGAAG
rnacentral:rRNA from 1 species